UCCAGAUAUACAAAUUUGUAGGUUCUUUGAUGUUCAAGCUCAUUCAUUUCCUCCUUACUCUUCUACAUGAAACCACAUUGGAAAAUUGUCUGCAAACCUGUUUAUAACCUGUAUUUUACAUACAGGAUAAAACAGUCUUUUCUCACAUCCAGCAUCUACAGCAACGCACUGGGCCUUUGGGGGGAAGAUGCAGGGAGAAAGCACAGGCUACUUUUGAUAGGCCUUCUGAACAAACACCUUUAAUGAAGGUUGUUGCCCUGAUCUACACAAACAUGACUUCUCAUUCUGAGCUGUCAUGUAGAAAAAUGCACAGCAGCUUGCGAGCGCUGAACAGAGACUUGCAUCAUGUAAUUGAAUCUUUGUUUUAAGCCGUGUUCCACACAUGGAAGAGAAACACGGACCUGCUUGCAGGCAUAACACUUGCGUUCUGUAAAAACAUCACACUCAUCACCUGCUCAGAUCUGUGCAGAGUCCAGAGCUCUGAAACAAUUUGGGGAAAUCAUUAGAGUGAAGACUAAAAUGCAGUGAGGACCUUGACCUCAAUGGUCUUUCUAUUUACAUAUGCCAUGGCUGAGGAUUGUCCUGACAGAAACAGCAAGGCCAGCUUUCUGGCUGAUCAUUUUUUCCACAAUUAAUUCUCUUUUAUUUAGAACGCAGAUAGCAAAACCUACAAUAAAUAACUUGUUUGUGUUACCUUUGUUCCAGUUUGUUAUCUCAGGUCAAUCUUUAUGAAGCUAUGAUUAGAAAAAUAACACAUGUAUGUCUGUGGGCUGGCUGUCACUUGGAGUCCAUCCCUGAGGAAUGUGGAACAGGCAAGUAUAUACAACAUCCUCUGCUGUGCUCCCGUACACAUUGUGCUCCCAGGCAGCAGCUGCAUGUGCAUGUACUCCUGUCUUUGUAAUGUGAGAAGUAAUGUUGGUAAGAUUAGAAUGCCUCAACUUAUUGCUUCUCUGUUUGUAGUCAUUCCUGUAAGUUUUGGAGGCAGAUAUGCAUCAGGAGAUUUGCAUGAAGGACAGACACAAUGUUGGUCCAAAACAUGUUCUGGAGCAUGAAGGAAUACUUACUCAUGUUAGAGUAACUGGCUUCCUAUGGAAAAAUUUACCUAUUGCACAAAGAUUAAAUGAUGUGUUUCCUUGUUUCAUUCCUUAGAGCAAAAACCAUAAAUCAACUAUUAGUUCUUAGCACUGACAGACUGUGAGCUCUUUUCUGUACUUACUCGUGUAAAAUCACAUCUAAGAAAUUUCUGAUAAUUAUUUGCUGAUAAAUUGGCAAUCUAUUUAUGCAAGUCUUAGAAAGUCUUAUUAUUUUGAACUGCCUCAUGGGAUUUCUUUAAAUAAACUGUAAAUGACCCUUAGAACAUCUGUUUCUAUGAUUAUAGAUCUCUGUAAGAAUCGGUACAAACUGAUCCUAGUUUUAUCAAAUACACUCUCUUUUUGUUUCAGAGACCGUUGGGUCCAGAAGGCAAAAUUAUGGAGCCUCAACACAGAACUCCAGCCCAAGGACAGAAGUAUUUUAUAUGCUUUAACAUUACAGAGUACUUUUCAAAGAAGAGGAAGAAACUGGAACAGAGAAUGGAGGAACUGUGCCUAAGACACCCAGCAGAUCAAGAUCAGAGAACCAGAUCUCUUGGAUUUAUAGUGAAUCUCAACCUGAAUAUGAAUUAACAACAUUGUGCUGUUCCAAAGAAAUAUCAGUCGCACCAGGAUGUCCAGUUUAUAUCAGCUAUGCUCCUUCAUUCUAAUGAGUGGAAAAUCACAGCAAAACAAUUAAUCAGCAGGUCACCUCAUCCCUCACCAUGACCCAAAACAGGAUCGAAUUGAUCAGCAAAGUGCUCCAGGUUGCAGCUACCUCUGGAAUUACAACUGUAUGUUAAUCAUCUUCCUCAUACAGUCAACCACAGAGCCCCAGAAGAGUUUAUGCUGGCAGAAGGCAGUGGGAGAGGAAAGGAGUAGCAAGGGGAAGAGGAAAGGCAGUGAUGAUUUACACCAGGUGGCUUACCACAGUAUAACGUGUUCAACUAUGUUCCAUCUUGCUGAACAUAUUCUUCAGUUUUUUAAAAGACUAUUUUAAAAUUUAAAUACAUCCCACUCAGCUUCGUAUCACCUGCAAAAUUAAUAA